GUGGGGAAUCUUAGACAAUGGGCGCAAGCCUGAUCUAGCCAUGCCGCGUGAGCGAUGAAGGCCUUAGGGUUGUAAAGCUCUUUCAGCUGGGAAGAUAAUGACGGUACCAGCAGAAGAAGCCCCGGCUAACUCCGUGCCAGCAGCCGCGGUAAUACGGAGGGGGCUAGCGUUGUUCGGAAUUACUGGGCGUAAAGCGCACGUAGGCGGAUCAGAAAGUCAGAGGUGAAAUCCCAGGGCUCAACCGUGGAACUGCCUUUGAAACUCCAGAUCGUGAGGUCGAGAGAGGUGAGUGGAAUUCCGAGUGUAGAGGUGAAAUUCGUGGAUAUUCGGAGGAACACCAGUGGCGAAGGCGGCUCACUGGCUCGAUACUGACGCUGAGGUGCGAAAGCGUGGGGAGCAAACAGGAUUAGAAACCCGGGUAGUCC
rnacentral:rRNA from 1 species